UUCGGUGACUAUAGCGUAGGGGGUACACCCGUUCCCAUUCCGAACACGGCAGUUAAGCCCUACAGCGCCGAUGGUACUGCACGGGAGACUGUGUGGGAGAGUAGGACGUCGCCGAAA
rnacentral:rRNA from 1 species